GUAAAAGUCUCUUCAAAAGCCCAUACAGUCUCUUCCUUCUUUACCCCACUCUACACUUCGUGGGUUGAUUUCCAUUUGUUAAAUUUUCUUUAUUGAGAGAAGGUUCCACCUCAUGAUGAUGAUCCUGAAUGGUCAAAUUCCCUAUUGAUGAGGAGGGGCUUGCAAUUGCUUUGUUAUUCAAUUGGAGAGCAAGGUAUUUUUUUUUCUCUCUCAUCCCCCCUCUAUAUAAGUAUGAAAAGUAGCAUAUUGAUGUGAGUUAUUGGUAUGUAUUUAUUUUGAGUGGGGGGGUUGUGACAUUGAAGUUUCAAGUAGGUGAGUAAAUGUGGAAACCAAACAUUACACAGAGGCUGGAGAGCAGAUCAUUCAUUAAAUUUCACCCAAUUUUAGCAGCAUGUGUUUCAUUUUGGUCUCUAUGAUUUGGGUGCUAUGAAGAGGAUAAUGUAAAAGGCAGGUGAGAAUGAUAUUUUAGCUACCAUAGUUUCAGUUCCUUAUUUUCUUCUUUUUGUUUCCACCUAUGUGUUCUUUUUCCCCUUUUU
rnacentral:misc_RNA from 1 species